UUCGAACAAUUGACUUCUCGAUUUUGAAUUUCGCAAUCAUCAUCACAAAACUCCAAUCAAAAAAAUCAAGACUCUGAUACCAUUUGUUGCGACUGACAAGGAGAAUAACGAAAUAAGAAGAAAAAAAAGAAAAAAAAUAAGAGAAAAGAACAAAUAAUAUCACACAAAAUUUAUAUGGUUCGAUGUAUUGACCUAUGUCCCCCGACAA
rnacentral:lncRNA from 1 species